UACGGGGGGAGCAAGCGUUGUUCGGAUUUACUGGGCGUAAAGGGCGCGUAGGCGGCCAGCACACGUCAGUUGUGAAAUCUCCGAGCUUAACUCGGAAAGGUCAACUGAUACUGUGCGGCUAGAGUGCGGAAGGGGCAACUGGAAUUCUUGGUGUAGCGGUGAAAUGCGUAGAUAUCAAGAGGAACACCUGCGGCGAAGGCGGGUUGCUGGGCCGAUACUGACGCUGAGGCGCGAAAGCCAGGGGAGCGAACGGG
rnacentral:rRNA from 1 species